ACCGCCAGGCGGGCGGUGGUUCCAAGCAGAAACGAUGUUUUAAAGCAGGGUAGUUUGUAAGGCUUUAAAACUCGCAGGUUUAGUUUUUGCCACGGACGGCAAAAACUAAACCGUU
rnacentral:sRNA from 1 species